ensembl:lncRNA
UUUUAUAAAAUGUUCCUACAACUGGUAACCCAGGUCACAGGCUUUAUCAGUCUGUGACAACAAAAUUAACUCAUACUUCCAUUUCAAACCCAAACUCAUAUGGCACAAGUUCAAAUCAGCAUAACUACUGGAAACUGGCCCUAUUUAAAUUGUUUCCCAAACAAUUUCUAAGGUCCCAGAGUAAUAAAUAUUCAGGACUGGUCACCAUCUUCUACACCUGCUUUUUUGUUUUUUCUCUGGACAGGAAUGCUGAUGGACACCACUCUCCUCCCCUGGUGACAACUAUUGAUGCAUCCCUACUGUGGCAAGCCUCAUCAGACAACCUUGUUCUUGUCAAAUAAAGAGUCAAGAAGAGAACAGAAUGAUACUUUGAAGAUGAUAGUUUUAUCCUGUUCCUGUUAAUAAGUCGAAUAUGUGCCUUGUAUACAUUUACAACCUAUACAAUGUCUACAGAGCGGUUCAGCUGUCUAGAGUGGCUGGGGUAAGUGCUGAUGUAGGCCUAAACCACAGCCCGCAGUGUGGGACCGUCAGAGAGAUCCAGUUCAGUAAUGAUGUGUCCCUCCAUGCCUUCCCGCCAUGAUUUCCUCCACAGGUACUCAGAUUUCUACCAUGACAUCACAAUUAAUCCAACAUGGAUGCUUAAGGGGAAGCAUGGCUGCUCUUCAGAGGUCAGCGUUGAGGAGGACCAAAAGCAACGCAUGGGCCAUGUGAGGUUCAGCUUUCUAGGUGUCUGUAGAGAGAAAUGCUGUCUUUUGGGACCAUGGUCUUAAGCUUGUGGGGGCCCCCAGCAUCCAGGUAAGAGUCGUUGAAUGAUGGAUGUAAGCCUUGUGAUUUGCAAGUGUCCUGGUAGAAUAAGCUUGUGCGUUUCUUUUCUUUCUUUCUUUCUUCCUUUUUUUUUUUUUUUUUUUUUGAGAUGGAGUUCUGUUAUUGUUGCCCAGGCUAGAGUGCAAUGGCACAAUCUCAGCUCACUCCAACUUCUGCCUUCUGUGUUCAAGUAAUUCUUCUGCCUCAGCCUCCUGAGUUGCUGGGAUUACAGGCAAGCGCCACUACCCCCAGAUAAUUUUUGUAUUACUAGUAGAGACAGAGUUUCAUCACUUUGGGCAGGCUGGUCUUGAACUCCUGACCUCAGGUGAUCCGCCUGCCUUGGCUUCCCGAAGUGUUGGGUUACAAGUGUGAGCCACCAUGCCUGGCCCCUCAUGUGUUUCUGUAGCAUGUAUCUCAAUGUAGGUUUUCCAGGCUUUCGCAAGGAAAUCCGGACAAACAGGAGUCAUGAUCAGGGGACAUGUCUGGUAUCUGGGUAAGUGAUGAUGUGCAUGGUAAACUCACCACAGACCAGGUAAUCUCCACAUAUCUAGGUAAGUGUGAUUCCUUUGUCUGAACGGUUUACCAUUUGAUGGGUUAACAGCUAUUUUGGAAAGAAAGGGGAGCAGCUCCCUAUUCUCCUUGCCAUGUGAUCCUGUUCAUUUCUGUCCUAGGGAGGAAGUUUGAUGUAUAUGCUCUGUCAGUGCUGAUUGUUUGAAAUGUACCCAGGGAACUCACGUGGCACUCUACAUCACAGGAGUAACUGCGGUGGAUUUGCAGGGAAGCUGGCCAGGAAAAAUGGUGUGUCCUAUGAUGGCCUAGACCUUGGAGGGCCUGCGAGCAUCCAGGUACAUUUUUGGCUCCCAUAAUAAUGAUAGCGAGCAGGCGGUUUGUAGGGUCCUGGUGAAAAAGCUGUGUCCUUAGUAACGUUUGUCACACAUGUGGUUUCAGAUUCAAGCAGGCAGAAGUUAGAGAAUGAGGGCAGCCUUGAGGUCUCUCCAGGAGAUUCAGGGUCCAUAGGAUUUGGUAGGGAUUCAGGUAUGAGAUGAUCGUGGCUGUCAUCAUUGUAGUGACCAUGGUAUUUUGAAGGAAUUCAAGGAACAGAUAAUGGACAUGUCCGUAACCAUGGUAGUGCCCAUGUGAUUUUGUAGUUAUAGAAUAAAAAUUACAGUGACCAUAUACAUGGUAAUGCCUAUGGGAUUUUAUAAAUAUCCAGGUAUGAAAUGAGUAUUUCUCCUUAGGAACUGGAUAUGGGAUGCCGAAGUUAUAAAGGUAGGAAAUGAUGAUAAACCUAACCAUGGGAUGACCAUGGUAUUUUCUUGAAAUCCAGAUAAGAGAAGAUGGUGGCUGUAACUCGAGUACCAAAAUUGGGUUUCGUGAGGUGGGCACAUAGGAGCUGAUAAUGUCUCUUUCCAUAUUAGUGAACUUGGCGUUUUGUGGUAUUCCAGAUGUGAUGGUGAACCUGACCACGAAAGUGACAGUGAGAUUUGUCAGGGGUUUGGUAAAGAGAUGAUGGUCCCCUUAAGCGUGAAGGUUAUGAUGAAAUUUUCUCGGUCAAUGAUGAAGAGAUGAUGGUGAUCCUAACCACUGUAGUAAACAAGGGGUUUGUUCAGUACAAAGAAAAGAAAUGAUGUGUCCCUAGCAAUGGCAUUUAAUAUGUGUAAUUUGCAGGUCUCUAUGUAUGGUAUUUCUAAAUCUGGUAGCUCUCAUGGGUUUCUAUAGGCAUCCACAGAGAUGACGUGUCACAAAUUUUAAGCAACUGCCACUCCUGUAUCCAAGGUAUUGUAUAAGUAUCCAGCUAAGAGCUCUGGCUCUAUAUAUUGGUUGGAUGUAAGACUUCCGUGUUAUCUCUUUCUUUCUUUCUUCGAGACAGCAUCUGGCUGAGGUAAGUGCUAAAGGGGGCCGAAACCACAGCCCGCAGCGUCGGACUGUCACAGAGACACAAUUCAGUGACCAUGUGUCCCUGCAUGCCUUCCCACCUUAUUCAGGUGGAAAGUGGUUGAAUCCUUACCAGUCACAGAUAGGUCGGGUUUUCCCAUUUUCUGUUUCAUUGAAAAUGUAUGCUGAACCCUGGGAGUGUUGAGGGAUUGCAGGGAGUCAGGUGUUUAUCACUUUAUUCCCCUGACCUGUGCUACCCCUUUAAUGUCUAUAGGGGUCCAGUUGAGAAGUGGUGGUUUUCUUCUAUCAGGGUCGACCUGGAAUUACUGCAAGUAUACAGGUUGAGUGGGUGUGUCCCCUAAAGAUGGAAAUAAGCAAGAUUUUUUGCAGGAUUCCUCACCAAAACCCUGUGUCCUUCUAUACAUGUGUGCUGGUGCCUCUUUCAGAUUCCUACCGUGACAUCACAAUCCAACAUGGGACCUUAAUGGGAAGCUCGGCUGCUCUGCAGGUUAGCAUGGAUGAGGACCGAAAGCAUCACAUGGGACACGUUGAGUUUCAGCUGUCUAGGUAAGUGAUGAUGGUGUAGGCCUCCCUGUUGUUCCCCUGAUUUCACUUCAGGUGUCCCAGUCAGAAAUGAUAAGAGUCCCUGGCAUACUUGAAACUGUGAGUUUUCCCUCUGCAUAUUUCAGAGAUAAUGCCUAACCCUGUGAGUGCACUGGGAUUGCAAUACCAGGUAACAUCCAUCGUUUUCAACCACAGCAGUGACCAUGAACGUUUUGCUAGUGUCCUAUAGAGAGAAAUUCUGUCUUCUGGGACCACAGCCCUGAGUUUGGGGGUCCCUGCCACCAUC